rnacentral:rRNA from 1 species
UAGGGAAUCUUCCGCAAUGGGCGAAAGCCUGACGGAGCAACGCCGCGUGAGUGAUGAAGGUCUUCGGAUCGUAAAACUCUGUUAUUAGGGAAGAACAAAUGUGUAAGUAACUAUGCACGUCUUGAUGGUACCUAAUCAGAAAGCCACGGCUAACUACGUGCCAGCAGCCGCGGUAAUACGUAGGUGGCAAGCGUUAUCCGGAAUUAUUGGGCGUAAAGCGCGCGUAGGCGGUUUUUUAAGUCUGAUGUGAAAGCCCACGGCUCAACCGUGGAGGGUCAUUGGAAACUGGAAAACUUGAGUGCAGAAGAGGAAAGUGGAAUUCCAUGUGUAGCGGUGAAAUGCGCAGAGAUAUGGAGGAACACCAGUGGCGAAGGCGACUUUCUGGUCUGUAACUGACGCUGAUGUGCGAAAGCGGGGGGAUCAAACAGG